rnacentral:rRNA from 1 species
GACGAACGCUGGCGGCGUGCCUAAUACAUGCAAGUAGAACGCUGAAGGAGGAGCUUGCUUCUCUGGAUGAGUUGCGAACGGGUGAGUAACGCGUAGGUAACCUGCCUGGUAGCGGGGGAUAACUAUUGGAAACGAUAGCUAAUACCGCAUAACAGUAGAUAUCGCAUGAUAUCUACUUGAAAGGUGCAAUUGCAUCACUACCAGAUGGACCUGCGUUGUAUUAGCUAGUUGGUGAGGUAACGGCUCACCAAGGCGACGAUACAUAGCCGACCUGAGGGGGUGAUCGGCCACACUGGGACUGAGACACGGCCCAGACUCCUACGGGAGGCAGCAGUAGGGAACCUUCGGCAAUGGACGGAAGUCUGACCGAGCAACGCCGCGUGAGUGAAGAAGGUUUUCGGAUCGUAAAGCUCUGUUGUAAGAGAAGAACGAGUGUGAGAGUGGAAAGUUCACACUGUGACGGUAUCUUACCAGAAAGGGACGGCUAACUACGUG